CCUGUCCAGGCUCUGGAAUGCUCAGGGGAAUACUUACUGCACAACAGUCCCUCCUUCUCUGCCACAAGUCCAGUUGGUGAGGAGAGUCGCCAAAAGAGAAGCAAAGUAGCACUUCAUGCUGGAUUACUGCAACACAAGUCCCAAUUGGAAGCUACCCACAGUGUCUCACUGAAAAGCUGACAAGGCUCCAUUAGAUCACAUUGUUUCUCCUGGUUUGACUCCUACAUCUUCAACCAAAUGAAGAGGACUGCGUGUGGGGUCUUCCGGUCCAAGGAAUGACACAAUGAUACCAAAUGUUUGGAGUUCCUGUUUCCCCCUCCCAGAAAAUGAGACAGCUACCUUUUGUACGAAAUGAAGAGACAGCCUCACUGACAAGUGUGAACACCACUGCUAAAUAGGGAUCGGCAAGUUGACCAAUUCACUAUUGGCUGGAUCCAGGCCCAGGCCCACACUCCCAUCGAGCUCUCCAAGCAUUUCCACAAACUGAUCUGAUCGACUCAUCUGAUCAACUGAAAAGACCUAAAUGAUCCGAUCCCCGAUGAGCCAUCUGCUAGUCUAUAAUCUGCUAGCCAAGCCUAAGGUUCAGCAAAGUCUCAGCCAACCCCCAGAAGUAAUGUGGAAAAAUGUGAAGGAGGAAUCGCCAGCAGAAGUAACGGGAGAAAUUGUUUUCACUCAUGGACAGAGAAAUGGUGGCAAUUAUAGUGUGUCAAAAAUGUGUGGCUUAAUAUUACACUGCAAAGAUCUGAAAUAUUGUUUCUCUUUUUUCAAAUUUUUGUUCUAAUAAUACUGACGAAUGGAAACGAGGCCAAAACUCAGCUUGCAGAUGAAGAAGAAGAAGAUCUUGAGUAAAAACUUUCAAAUAAAUCUCAAAGAGGAGCAUUUCGUUACCAGUCUUUGAAAAGCCUAAGAUGGGUGCAGGAAAAAAGGCAGGACAGAGGUGGCCCCAAAUGAAUUUUCAGAUAAAGCCAUAUGGUAACAGAACACGAUAUAAACCCAUAAUGGGAAAAUGGAAUUUUGCAAGCAACAGCAGAAAUACUAACAUAUCCCAGGGCUACCUUGGAAUAUGGCGCUGGAUAUCAUGAUGCCAAGUCACUCACGCCCCUUGCAUUAGCGGUGCCAACUGCAGGUUUCAUCCCCAAGAGCCUCUACAAUAAAAGGAUCUCCUUUAGAAACAGGGAAAAUACUGUUCUGCAUCAGACUUUGGAGAGAGAUUACGGAAGACGAUGUCCAUGGAGCCAGGCUUCACUGCCGCCAAACUAAACUCCAGCCACUUCCAGACAUGGAGGCCAAGGGUCCUGGUUUCUGCUCUGGGACCGGCCAACUGGAUUGGGGGGUCCUGCCUCUUCCCAUCCUCCAAGGCUAAAGGAGUCGAGGAGAUUUUCGUUUUCACCAUCUGAAGAAGAACCUGAUCCACCGUGGACGUUCGUGAGAAGAGAAGCAUUUCUGUUGAGUGAUCUUCAAAGAAGUCUAGUCCACCAAUUGGCAUUCUCACGUAGUCUACAGUAAAGCACUCGGUUAGACACGUCAUGCUCUCCGCUGAGACCUUUUGUCCCAGCACGCACUUUGGGCCCGUGACUUACACUGAUGUUUCGAAAAGAGGUGUACACUAGAACCCCUCAGAUACAUGAUUUCAUAUAACGCGUGGCUGUUGUUCCAUGACAACAAAAGCCUGUGGAUGAUGAAAAAAUACUCUUCUGUUCAAAAAUCAUUACAACUGGUCUGUCAGUUUGUAACGAAUCCUAAAAUUACACCAAACAUUUAUUAACACAAUUAAGUUAAAUUUCUUGAUAUUAGAACAUUGAACAGUUCAAACUACAUAAAGAAUAUGACAAACAUUAGAAAGAAGAACAUUAUGGAAGAGAUCCAUUAAUAACCAUUACUUAAAAAAUACAACUAUCAUUUAUAUUGCAAUAAAGCAACAGUGCAGCUUACCACAGAUUUCAGGAAACCAGAUCAAGUGCUUAUAACGGAGUGGGAUCAUUAACUAAAACCAGUACAAUCCCAAACACAAAAAA